AAAUAACAAAAAUUUCUAGUAUGCAACAAAAAAAACACCUUUUUUUUCUUAUAAGCCAAAUUUAAACUUGUUUUCUCCAUUUACUGUUAAUGAAAUCACAAAAAGGAAGGCUGAGUUUCAUUAGAGAAAAACAGGUAAAUUACACGUUAUUCGGGUAAAUGAGGGGGUGGUCAAUUUCUUAUUACAUCAUUAUUAUCGCAGUGCAAUGGCAUUAACCCCUUAAUGCCGUUACGGC